ACUCUCAUAACUUAAGUUUCCAUAUCAUUACUUCACCAGACAAAUUGAUUACUAAGGAAAUGAAUUAAAAUAGAAUUAAAAAAUGGAUUACUAAUGACAUUAACUAUAUAAUUUGCUAAGAAAAUUAAAAGAAUGAACUCACUAGAUCAGUAUUCAAACCUAGAAAACUAAAAAAAAAUAAAAGUCAUCCCUAUCACACCAAUUAAAUCAAUACCAUAAUGAUCCAGAAUAUUAACAAGAAGAACAAAAUAGAAAGACGGAAAUGAACCUUUGUAUUAAAGAGGCAAAUUCAUAAUCGAAAAUUGUCGCUAGAACAAACUGAAUAACAACCGGAUCUGAAGGUGACCACGCCAGGACCUCGGAUUGGCAGCUUCAACAUGCGACGAUCUCAAAGCACGCUAAGACUUAAUCAAAUUCCUUUUAAAAAAAAAUAUAAAUUGCAAUCAGAAAGAAGAAACAGAGUUGUACUGUUCUUGUAUAUUUUUUGAUUUUUUUUAAAUAUAGCAAAGGAACUUUUCUUGGACCCUCCCUUGGUCUCAAUUUUCCCCUUCCCUAUAAUUCUGUCCGAAACAAAUCUCUUUUCCCCCAAUUUUCCUCUAUCUCGUUUUCCACUUUUCCAUGAGUGUGUAUCCUUUUCUUUUUUUUGUGUUUGAGAUAAUGAAGAUUUGGUAAAAUUUAAAAGGGAGAAACGUUAGGUUCAGGGAGAUGUAAAAGGAAGCUUUCAUAAAAUUUCCUCUUUGUUUUUGGGAGGAUUCAGGGGUUCUGCCGC
rnacentral:lncRNA from 1 species